rfam:Ricinus communis cultivar Hale ctg_1100012313459, whole genome shotgun sequence.
GGGUGCGAUCAUACCAGCACUAAUGCACCGGAUCCCAUCAGAACUCCGAAGUUAAACGUGCUUUUGCGAGAGUAGUACUACGAUGGGUGACCUCUUGGGAAGUCCUCGUGUUGCACCCC